AUUGAACGCUGGCGGCAGGCCUAACACAUGCAAGUCGAACGGUAACAGGAAGCAGCUUGCUGCUUCGCUGACGAGUGGCGGACGGGUGAGUAAUGUCUGGGAAGCUGCCUGAUGGAGGGGGAUAACUACUGGAAACGGUAGCUAAUACCGCAUAAUGUCGCAAGACCAAAGAGGGGGACCUUCUGGCCUCUUUCCAUCGGAUGUGCCCAGAUGGUAUUAGCUUGUUGGUGGGGUAACGGCUCACCAAGGCGACGAUCCCUAGCUGGUGUGAGAGGAUGACCAGCCACACUGGAACUGAGACACGGACCAGACACCUACGGGAGGCAGCAGUGGGGAAUAUUGCACAAUGGGCGCAAGCCUGAUGCAGCCAUGCCGCGUGUAUGAAGAAGGACUUCGGGUUGCAAAGUACUUUCAGCGGGGAGGAAGGGAGUAAAGUUAAUACCUUUGCUCAUUGACGUUACCCGCAGAAGAAGCACCGGCUAACUCCGUG
rnacentral:rRNA from 1 species